rnacentral:rRNA from 1 species
UAGGGAAUUUUCGUCAAUGGGCGCAAGCCUGAACGAGCGAUGCCGCGUGAGUGAAGAAGGCCUUCGGUCGUAAAGCUCUGUUGCGGGGGAAAAAGGCAGCAUCAGGAAAUGGGUGCUGACUGAUGGUGCCCCGCCAGAAAGUCAUGGCUAACUACGUGCC